rnacentral:lncRNA from 1 species
CAGUCACCCACACUCUAGACACAGCCUCCUAUUGAGCUCACUUGAGUGGAGACACUCAAGAGAGCAGGAUGCUCUGCUGUUGUCUCCCGACUUGUCGAGGCUGUGGCUUCAGGAAAGCCAAGAAACAGAGCCUUUUCAGUUGCUACACACAUUGGCUUGGCCCUCACCUGCACCGCCUCUGGCCAUUUGGCAGGAGGAGCCCUCAGAGCUGCACGCAGGAGGUGGUGGAAGAGCUGGCGGAUGGCUUCGGGUACUCCAUCUCCCUGGACAGGGACCAGCUGCACCGCACCAUCAUCAAUAACCAGGGCUGCUCUGAGAGUGAAGAUGAGUCCACUCUGUCUGUAACUGAGGCCUGCAGGAUGCGUGCCCUCCAGGCAGGCAUGAUGCAGAGGCUCUCAGAGUCUGUGCUGCCAGCCUUCCCCAGCAGAGUCCUCUGCAGUGUCAUCACCUCCCUCUGCAGCUCCUCAGGCUCCAGCACAGGCCACCAGGUCCUGGACAAGCUGUUUCCCAGAAAGUAGUCUUCCUCUCCCUUCACUGGCUUGUGGCUUUUUGAGUUUGGAAAUGCACCUGGAGAGCACCCUGUCAAGGAGUUUGAGAUGCCAUCCAGCUGGACCAGGUCCCAUCUACCCUCCAUCCCGGGCGAUGCCCUCAUCCCCUUUGGGACACAUGGAGGCAGCUUGGCCCAUUGCAUGCAGGAUGCUGGCGGACAGGACCACCUCCCAAAGACUGGACUCAAAGAGAGCUGUGCAUGGGUCCCAGGCCCCUUGAGAAUUGGAAGGGAGGCUGGGCUGCGUUGUCCCCUAGAGACCCACUCCCAGCAGAGUCCCAGCUCCUCCUGCCUCCCUUUCUCCACAUCCACACCUUGUGAGCACCACCGCCAGGUCCAUAGUAGGAGGUGUGUGAGCAAGCUGCUCCCAAAUCUGCUGGAGUCUUCAUUCCAGUGGCCCAUUUGCAUGCAGGGCUUGGGUGGGCUGUGUCCAGAUCCUUGGGGAGGAGAGUAUCGGUGGGAACAAGAGACUCUCUCAGACUCUGUGUGUUCAGCCUGCUGGAUGAGCAGGCCUGCCACAGCCAGGACAGCCAGCCAGGGCUCAGGGCUGGGAUGGGGCCCUCCUAGGGAGGGGGAGGGUCUGGCACAGGGGCGCAGAUGCUAACAAGAGUGCCUUGGGAGGGCGGUGUUUAAGGAAAGGCCAGGCCACUGACUCUCUGGCCCAUCUGCCUCCCCGCAG